GUCCAGUACUGCCGCAGCCCAAAGAGGAAGUAGUCCAGCAGUGCCCAAACCAGAUUAUUUUCCUGAGAACCUCCGCGCUUACCUGUUGCUUUAAGGAGUUGGCCACACAAGGAUCCCGCAGAGUGAGACAGACAACCCACGUAAUCUCAGAGUCUACAAAUGGAAGCCAGAUCAAUAGGUAGAACUCUUGGCUACUCCAGCACCGUGUCUGCCUGCACAUCACCAGGUUUCUCAUGAUGAUGAUAAUGGACUAAACCUCAAAACUGUAUCCUAAGUCACAGCCAUACAAAAGCAACUAUGAGGACCACAGGUGCCAGAAGACUCAUCCAGAAGGAGUUACAGACAGAGCUGCCACAUGGGUGCUGGGAACUGGACCUGGGUCCUCUGCAUGAGGAGAUAGUGCUCUUAACCACUGAGCCAUCUCUCCAGCCCUCAUUUACCAGGGUAUCUGAGCCCUAGAAUCCAGGACACCCAUGGUCAGAACAUCAGUGCCUGAAUUUCCUCUGCAGACUGGUGGGUGAUGUGACCUUGGGAAAUGCCCACCCUCAUCUUCCCUCUGCCCCAAGGACAACCACUUGCUCUUGUCUUAGAACUCCAUCUGCCUCUGGAGAGCCCCAGGGAUGCUCAUGAAAUGGCUAGCUGGAGCUGCAGCUAACCCCUCUCUAAGUUGGCCUCGAAACCCCAUCAGGGCUGAGGUCCCAUCAUGCCCUGCGUGCCAUCCAGCCCUGUCUCGCUGAAUCCUGCAGGUCCCUGUGCUCUGGGGACACAUGUGCCUCUGCUUGAAGAGGUUGUGUCAUGGGCGAGCAUGUCAAGGCUGGCAGCUCCUCAUCCAACUGCGAACAGCUCUGUGAGAACAGUCUUCGAGACUACACCUGCCUAGAGAGCACUCCUUGUCGCCAGCAUUUUCUGACGGCCAUGUGCCGGUGAGCUUGUUAAAGCUUCUGAAGAGUCCUGCACCAACCCAGACUGGCUCAGACCACUCUAGUUUGCUCUUCUGUUGUGACAAAUACCUUAACCAAAAGCAGCUUGGGGUAGGAAAGGGAACCGCUUCCAGGUUACGGUUCCUCACUGAGGGAGAAGUCAGGGCAGGAACUCAAGCUGGAAGCAAAGCAGAAACAGCAGAGGGACACUGCUUCCAGGCCUGCUCCUUCUGUCCCAAGACACAUUUUGGAAAGUGUUCUCAUCAACUGCCACCUACAAAUGUCUGAUCCCACUGGAGGCAGAGCAGGCGUGGCGUGGCCAGUAUUGCCUGCCCCGGUUGCGGUGUCGCACCAAGGAUGGCAAAGUUUCUGUAGCACAGAUGGCAUCAGGAUAUCCCCUGGGAGGGCAUGCCCUAGGGACAGAUGGUACCAUUGUUGGUUAGCAAAUGACACCUUUUGAAGGUCAGGUUUGAAUGCCAGUCAGCCUAGCAGAGCUGGAGGGUUCCAGGCCAGCGAGAGACCCCACCUCAAAAAAACAGCGUUGACCUCUGCCCUUGGCGAGCCUAUACACGGAGAGAACAGAUUCAAGGGGUAGACAGACACCAAAUAGAGUGGGAAAGGGAUGCAUUAAAGUGAUGCAUCGACUAUUCCCCCACAGUUAACUCACGUCCAAGCCCCUCAGCUCAUCUGUGGAUUUAGGGGAGCCUCUCUCCCUUUUGAACCCCUCUCUGGACCUCCAGGAAGAAGCAGAGCCUAAGGACGGACGACUUCUAAGACACUGAGGGGAAAGACGACAGAAAAACCGUUGUCCCGGAGCAAAAACCUGCUUGAGAAUACCCGCAAGGCCCUGCGUCUCAGGCACGGAACUAUUAGAAUUGUCAAGUGUCUCCUGAGAUUUUAAAGCGCCUUAAAAACGGGAGAAAAGCGAAGGAAGGAGGCGCAUAGUUCGCGGGAACGAACUAGCAGGGGUUGAAUUCUGUCCCUCUGGUGCAUCCACCAUCCCUUCUUUCCCCUGGGCCCUCGCUCUUUUCUUCUCCAAAACCGACUGACAAAGCCAGUUAAGCUGCGCUUUGGAGCGGAUCAAGGUCACCUGCCUUCCCAGGCCUCAGGUCCCGGGUGGGGCGGGUGCCCCGUCCUCCAGGUCCCCGGAGGCCCGCAACACAGCCUCGCGCCUGCCAAUUAGGCCCUAAUUUGAUUUCUGCUCUAUCCCUGCGAACCCCAUUAAACCCAAUUCCGCUCAUUACUGCGACUUCCCUGCUCUCAGCGCAGUCUCCUCCCCGCCCCCCCCCCUGGCCCCGUGCGCCCCAGAUCGCCCCCAUGUUUCUUAGGAAACCGGACUGGGAACUACGCUCUCCGGGAA